AAAACUUACCAGGUCAAGACAUGGGCGUGAUUGACAGGCUAAUGACUUUUCUCGAUUCCAUGGAUGGUGGUGCAUGGUCGCACUUAGUUGGUGCAGUGAUUUGUCAGGUUUAUUCCGGUAACGAACGAGACCUCGGCCUUGUAAAUAGCUAUGCUGCUUACAGGGACAUUGGCGGCUACGCCAAGGAAGCUCGAGGCAAUUGCAGAUCUGGAAUGCCCUUAGAUGUCCUGGGUCGCACGCGUGCUACAAUGACGCCACGAACGAGCUUGCGUGAUGAAAGUUACGCAUAAUCAGCAGUCGGCGUCUUAAGGGAUAGUCUCUUGUAACUGUGGGACUCCAACUAGGAAUGUCUCGUAAGCACAAGUCAACAUCUUGUGUUGAUUACGUCCCUGCUCUUUGUACACACCGCCCGUCGCUCCUACCGAUCGAGUGUUUAGGUGAAUUUGAUGGACGUAAGGAAGUCAAAUAAACCUGAGCACUAGAGAAGAGAAGUCGAGCAC
rnacentral:rRNA from 1 species